rnacentral:lncRNA from 1 species
GGGGCCUCAUGUAUAUGCCAGCAGGCAUGUCAACCCUAGCUCUGCUCUACUUGGGCCUGGAAGUGUUGGUCGUGGGACUGAGAAGCCCCAAGCCUCUACCCAGGAGGGUGGGGAGUAGUGCUGUUUCUCGCCUUCGAAGGGGAGGGUUGCAUCCAAGGUCCCGGGGGGCUGGGGGCGUCUCUGGGGAAGGGCGGGGGAGGGAAGGUGCCUGUUGGGCAGGGGAUGUGAGAGGAAGCGUUGCCAGGCCGGGGCAGCACCCUGAGGACCGUGUCCAGGCCCUUCCUGAGGCGGAGCUAGCAGGCUGUGCUGUCCUGUCGGGGUGCGGCGAGGGCCCUCCCAGAACCAAGGGGAGGCAGCGCAGCGUGACCAGCAGCCUGACAGCAUCAGGGUCCACGUGCAACUUGGUGACAAAGACCAUCCUGCUGGGAUGUACAGAAUGGGGUUCUUCCAGGAGUCCAUCAGCCUGGCCGUCCUCUCUGUGAGCUCAGAAGAGACUGCCCCCGAGAUCGAUGCCAUGCCCCCGCAGCAUGUUCCCAGGCUGGGGUCUAAUUGGAGCUGCAGCUGCCAGCCCACAGCAACGCUGGAUCUGAGCCGCAUCUGUGACCUCUACGUCAGCUUGCAGCAACACUGGAUCCUUAACCCACUGAGCGAGGCCAGGGAUCGAACCCCCGUCCUCAUGGAUGCUGGUCGGGCCGUUCCUCCAGAAGUUUGGCAGCCCCACCAGCCCCCUCGCUCCCGGGGGGGGCCUUGCCCCUCCAGCCUCCGCGCUGCUCUCCGCACAGAGCUGCCGUGGCCGUGGCUGAGCGAGCCCUGGGUGGGGCGAGCAACCUCUUCGACACACACAGCGCUCCUGGCCAUGGCGCAGCGCUUCCGGCAGAACCGCAGUGAACUCAUGACCACCUGGACCUGUGGGUCUAUGACGGGGGGAGGGGGGGCCCAGCCCUGUCCCUGGAUUCCGGGGAGCAGAUGCUGCGGGCGACCUGACCGGCGACACUCUUCAGCUACUGCUGCAAGGCUCUGCAAGACGCUGCUGGCCUGGCGCCAGCGCUGGAAGUCCUUCCUGCACUUGGAGACCACUGAGCCGCCCUCUGGCCCUGGAUCGCCAUGGAGGAGGGCUUCCAACUGGUGUGUGAGCUGGGCACGCUGGACUGGAUCUACCACGAGCCAAGCCCAAGUGCCUGGCUCCCAAAGACAUGCCUGUGGCGGUGCCUACUGACGGCCGCGCCCUCGGAGCUGUCCCUCUCCCUGGUCAGCCUGCUGGUCAAGGGCAUGACGGUGCUGAAGAUCCAGACCAUGGCCGCCAAGCUCCUGCUGGGGCCCAACCCGAUGAACACAAAUCGUGGGCUGGCUGCUGAGCCGCGGUGUGUCCAGGGAGCGGGUGGACCGGUGAACCACCAGGGUCCUCCUGGAGCUGCCCAUCAAAGGGGCCAAGCACAGCCGGGGCUGAGGCCCCCCACGUGCUGGUGGAGGAGCAGCCCCUGCCUCCCCGGUCCUCUGACCAGGCCUGCAGGGAGGAGCUGCAGUGCACCAGGACUACGCACCCCACAAUCCAGGCCACUUUCUGCUUGGUGCUGGGAGUGGAGCAGGGGCCCAUGUCGGAGAGACACAAAGUCUUGGCCAAAGCGCCUCCUGAUCGUCCCCAGGAUAGACAGAGGGACAGCACCCCCAGCUCCAGCCAUCUCCUGCCAGGCCAGACCCUGACCACGCAUCCUGAAAACCUCGGAGAGGGUCCUUGCCCCCGCCGCCGUGGGCAUCACUGGCCUGAGCUGGUGGAGAGCAGCCAGUUGGCUGGCGUUGCUGGUUGAGGGGAGAGAGUCCGUUAAAUAUUUCAGUCUGUUACACCUUAGCCUGAUAAGCGGGGUGGGUGGGCACCCACCGUUGUGCCACACGGGCCCCCAACGCACUACAGGCCAAGCUUGAGACCCCGCAUCCCACCCCGCAAAAGCACCUUCAAGUUUGUGCCCUUGCCCUUGAGGUUUUUUCUUUAACGCGGUGGCUGUACCUGAUACUUGACUUUAGGCGUGUGCGGCGCUUGGGUUUAGUGUCCUCACUACUGCUUUUGUGAUGGUUUUUCUCUAAGUUGUUUUUUUUGUUUGUUUUUUUUGCAAUGCCCUUUUCUUGAAAUGGAAUUUUUUUGCCUUUUGCUUUCCUGGGAAAAGGGCAGCCAGUCCCUUCCAGUUUCUCACGCGUGGCUGGAGUGUCUGCAUCACCAGAGUUCCAGCAUUGUGAGGAUGGACAGCCGUGGCAGGUGGUGCCGGACACCAUUAAAGAGCCCAUGUGCUGCU